AUAAGCGGAGGAAAAGAAACUAACAAGGAUUCCCCUAGUAACGGCGAGUGAAGCGGGAAGAGCUCAAAUUUGAAAUCUGGUAGCCUUCGGUUGCCCGAGUUGUAAUCUAGAGAAGUGUUUUCCGUGCCGGCCCAUGUACAAGUCCCUUGGAACAGGGCGUCAUAGAGGGUGAGAAUCCCGUCCUUGACAUGGACCCCCGGUGCUUUGUGAUACACUUUCAACGAGUCGAGUUGUUUGGGAAUGCAGCUCAAAAUGGGUGGUGAAUUCCAUCUAAAGCUAAAUAUUGGCGAGAGACCGAUAGCGAACAAGUACCGUGAGGGAAAGAUGAAAAGCACUUUGGAAAGAGAGUUAAACAGUACGUGAAAUUGUUGAAAGGGAAACGAUUGAAGUCAGUCAUGCUCUUAGGAUUCAGCCGUUCUGCGGUGUAUUUCCUUUGAGUGGGGUCAACAUCAGUUUUGAUCGAUGGAUAAAGGCACGAGGAAGGUAGCACUCUCGGGUGAACUUAUAGCCUCGCGUCAUAUACAUUGAUUGGGACUGAGGAACGCAGCAUGCCUUUAUGGCCGGGAUUCGUCCACGUACAUGCUUAGGAUGUUGACAUAAUGGCUUUAAACGACCCGUCUUG
rnacentral:rRNA from 1 species